GACGAACGCUGGCGGCGUGCUUAACACAUGCAAGUCGAACGGGAACCUUUAUUUCGGUAAAGGUGAGAGUGGCAAACGGGUGAGUAACACGUAGGCAACCUGCCGACAGGAUGGGGACAACAUUCCGAAAGGAAUGCUAAUACCGAAUGGAGUCCGAGGAUGGCAUCAUCCUUGGAUAAAAGAUGGCCUCUGAAUAUGCUAUCGCCUGUCGAUGGGCCUGCGUCUGAUUAGCCAGUUGGCGGGGUAACGGCCCACCAAAGCGACGAUCAGUAGCCGGUCUGAGAGGAUGAACGGCCACAUUGGGACUGAGACACGGCCCAGACUCCUACGGGAGGCAGCAGUGGGGAAUCUUCCACAAUGGGCGAAAGCCUGAUGGAGCAACGCCGCGUGAGUGAAGAAGGUCUUCGGAUCGUAAAGCUCUGUUGCACGGGACGAAAAACUGGGUUUGAAAAACAUGAAACCUGGGUG
rnacentral:rRNA from 1 species